rnacentral:rRNA from 1 species
UACGUAGGGGGCAAGCGUUGUCCGGAAUCAUUGGGCGUAAAGCGCGCGUAGGUGGCCCGUUAAGUGGCUGGUGAAAUCCCGGGGCUCAACUCCGGGGCUGCCGGUCAGACUGGCGAGCUAGAGCACGGUAGGGGCAGAUGGAAUUCCCGGUGUAGCGGUGGAAUGCGUAGAGAUCGGGAAGAACACCCGUGGCGAAGGCGGCCAGCUGGGCCGGUUCUGACGCUGAGGCGCCGAAAGCGUGGGGAGCAAACAGG